AGACCCUGCCUGCUCUAGUAUAAGCACUAUACUGUGAAACUGCGAAUGGCUCAUUAAAUCAGUUAUCGUUUAUUUGAUAGUACCUUACUACUUGGAUAACCGUGGUAAUUCUAGAGCUAAUACAUGCUAAAAACCUCGACUUCGGAAGGGGUGUAUUUAUUAGAUAAAAAACCAAUGCCCUUCGGGGCUCCUUGGUGAUUCAUAAUAACUUAUCGAAUCGCAUGGCCUUGUGCCGGCGAUGGUUCAUUCAAAUUUCUGCCCUAUCAACUUUCGAUGGUAGGAUAGUGGCCUACCAUGGUUUCAACGGGUAACGGGGAAUUAGGGUUCUAUUCCGGAGAGGGAGCCUGAGACACGGCUACCACAUCCAAGGAAGGCAGCAGGCGCGCAAAUUACCCAAUCCCGACGCGGGGAGGUAGUGACAAUAAAUACUGAUACAGGACUCUUUUGGGUCUUGUAAUUGGAAUGAGUACAAUUUAAAUCCCUUAACGAGGAACAAUUGGAGGGCAAGUCUGGUGCCAGCAGCCGCGGUAAUUCCAGCUCCAAUAGCGUAUAUUAAAGUUGUUGCAGUUAAAAAGCUCGUAGUUGAACCUUGGGCCUGGCUGGCCGGUCCGCCUCACCGCGUGCACUGGUCCGGCCGGGCCUUUCCUUCUGGGGAGCCGCAUGCCCUUCACUGGGUGUGUCGGGGAACCAGGACUUUUACUUUGAAAAAAUUAGAGUGUUCAAAGCAGGCCUAUGCUCGAAUACAUUAGCAUGGAAUAAUAGAAUAGGACGUGUGGUUCUAUUUUGUUGGUUUCUAGGACCGCCGUAAUGAUUAAUAGGGAUAGUCGGGGGCAUCAGUAUUCAAUUGUCAGAGGUGAAAUGCUUGGAUUUAUUGAAGACUAACUACUGCGAAAGCAUUUGCCAAGGAUGUUUUCAUUAAUCAGUGAACGAAAGUUAGGGGAUCGAAGACGAUCAGAUACCGUCGUAGUCUUAACCAUAAACUAUGCCGACUAGGGAUCGGGCGAUGUUAUUUUUUUUGACUCGCUCGGCACCUUACGAGAAAUCAAAGUCUUUGGGUUCUGGGGGGGAGUAUGGUCGCAGGCUGAAACUUAAAGAAAUUGACGGAAGGUCACCACAAUGGGAGUGGGAGCCUUGCGGCU
rnacentral:rRNA from 2 species